CAACUACUCCCUCUGUCCCAAAUUUCUUGUCUUAGAUUUGUUUAUAUACGGAUGUAUAUAAUACUAAUUUAGUAUUAGAUACAUCCGUAUCUAGACAAAUCUAAGACAAGAAAUUUGGGACAGAGGGAGUAGUUG
rfam:Triticum urartu cultivar G1812 contig1040973, whole genome shotgun sequence.